rnacentral:rRNA from 1 species
AAUAUUGGGCAAUGGAGGGAACGCUGACGCAGCGACGCCGCGUGAGCGAAGAAGGUCUUCGGAUCGUAAAGCUCUGUUCUUGGGGAAGAAGGGAGCCGUAAGGCUUCUUGACGAUACCCAUGGAGGCAGCCCCGGCUAACUACGUGCCAGCAGCCGCGGUAAUACGUAGGGGGCAAGCGUUGUCCGGAAUUAUUGGGCGUAAAGGGUGCGUAAGCGGCCCUUUAAGUCCGAUGUGAAAGCCCACGGCUUAACCGUGGGACUGCAUUUGAAACUGGAGGGCUUGAGUGUCGGAGAGGGCAGUGGAAUUCCCAGUGUAGCGGUGGAAUGCGUAGAUACUGGGAGGAACACCAGUGGCGAAGGCGACUGCCUGGACGAUAACUGACGCUGAGGCACGAAAGCUAGGGGAGCAAAC